GGCUCCCGGGGCUGUCGCGGGCCGGGGCGGUUGGACUGGCGGCUGACGCUCGUGGCCAUGGAGUGGGGUUCGGAGCCGGGAGCUGUGAGGCGGCACCGCAUCGGAGGGGAGCGCCGGGACGGCCCGGCGGCCGCGCCGCAACUGGAGAGGGAGGCCCUGGCGCAGAAGCCCCUGGCUGACGUGUGCGGCGGCGGCGCUAGGACGCGGAAGCGGAGCGGGGAGGGGAGCGGCAGUGCGAGCCGGGGCGCGGGGACCGGACUGUCUGAGGCGCGCGCCGCGCUGGGGCUGGCGCUUUACCUGCUCGCGCUGCGGGCGCUCGUGCAUCUCUCGCUGCAGCAGCUUGUGGUGCGUGGGACCGCAGUUGGCCACCGGGGAGAGUUCGACGCACGCCAAGCCAGGGAUUAUCUUGAACACAUAACAUCCAUUGGCCCCAGGACUACAGGAAGUCCAGAAAAUGAAAUUCUGACAGUGCGUUACCUUUUGGAACAGAUUAAACUGAUUGAAGUUCAGAGCAACAGCCUUCACAGGAUUUCAGUAGAUGUACAACGGCCCACAGGCUCCUUUAGCAUUGACUUUUUGGGAGGGUUUACAAGCUACUAUGACAACAUCACCAACGUUGUGGUAAAGCUGGAACCCAGAGAUGGAGCCCAGCAUGCUGUCCUGGCCAACUGUCAUUUUGACUCAGUGGCAAACUCACCAGUGCCCUACCCCCCACCCCUGACCUUGACUAUUUUAAAGCAGAUCUCAGCUAUAUCAGUUCCUCUGGAAGUAUUUUGGGCUGUAUUGUUGAAAGGUGCCAGUGAUGAUGCAGUUAGCUGUUCAGUGAUGCUGGAAGUCCUUCGUGUCUUGUCAACAUCUUCAGAAGCCUUACAUCAUGCUGUCAUAUUUCUCUUUAACGGUGCUGAGGAAAAUGUCUUGCAAGCCAGUCAUGGUUUUAUUACCCAGCACCCGUGGGCCAGCUUGAUUCGUGCGUUUAUUAACCUGGAGGCCGCAGGUGUAGGAGGGAAAGAACUUGUAUUCCAAACAGGUCCUGAAAAUCCCUGGUUGGUCCAAGCUUAUGUUUCAGCAGCUAAACACCCUUUUGCUUCCGUGGUGGCUCAGGAGGUUUUCCAGAGUGGAAUCAUUCCUUCAGAUACUGACUUUCGUAUCUACAGGGAUUUUGGGAACAUUCCAGGAAUAGACUUAGCUUUUAUUGAGAAUGGAUACAUUUAUCACACCAAGUAUGACACAGCAGACAGAAUUCUAACAGAUUCCAUUCAGCGAGCAGGUGACAACAUUUUAGCAGUUCUUAAAUAUCUAGCUACAUCUGAUAUGUUGGCUUCUUCUUCUAAGUAUCAACAUGGAAACAUGGUCUUCUUUGAUGUGCUUGGCCUGUUUGUCAUUGCCUACCCCUCUCGUGUUGGCUCGAUAAUUAACUACAUGGUGGUAAUGGCGGUUGCUUUAUACCUGGGAAAGAAAUUUUUGCAGCCCCAAAAUAAGACUGCUACCUACACAAAGGACUUCUUCUGUGGACUUGGCAUCACUCUGAUAAGCUGGUUUACUAGCUUGGUGACAGUUCUCAUUAUAGCAGUGUUCAUCUCUCUUAUUGGACAGUCUCUGUCAUGGUAUAACCACUUCUACAUCUCCGUUUGUCUGUAUGGAACUGCAGCUGUUGCCAAAAUAAUAUUCAUACAUACCCUCGCAAAAAGAUUUCAUUAUGUGAAUGCCAGUGACCAGUAUCUGGGAGAAGUAUUUUUUGACGUCUCUCUGUUUGUGCACUGUGGGUUCCUUACAGCUCUCACUUACCAAGGGCUCUGCUCGGCAUUUAUUAGCGCUGUCUGGGUGGCAUUCCCGUUGCUCACAAAGCUUUGCGUGCACAAGGACUUUAAGCGGCAUGGUGCUGGAGGAAAAUUUAUUGCCUUUUACCUUUUGGGGAUGUUUAUUCCAUAUCUUUAUGCAUUGUACCUCAUCUGGGCCGUAUUUGAGAUGUUUACCCCUAUCCUUGGGAGGAGUGGUUCGGAAAUUCCACCUGAUGUUGUGCUGGCUUCUAUUUUGGCUGGUUGUACAAUGAUUCUCUCAUCCUAUUUUAUUAACUUCAUCUACCUUGCCAAAAGCACAAAAAGAACUAUGCUAACUUUAACUUUGGUAUGUACAAUUGCAUUCCUCCUUGUUUGCAGUGGAACUUUUUUCCCAUACAGCUCCAACCCUGCCAGUCCAAAGCCAAAGAGAGUGUUUCUUCAGGUAAGAGCGAUUUUGCGUGAGCUAUUUGAGAUCCUGGAGAGGAAAGGCUUAUGGUGUUUUGAGCUUACUAGUCAACAGUGAAGCUCGAAACACAUAAGUGACUUUUCUACUGUUGACCUGUUAGUUGUACCUCGACUAUUUUGUGUAAGGCAGUGAGGAAAAGACCGACCAUCAAGAGGCACUCUUGUCAGCUAGAAACACUUCUCCUAAGAGCCUGAAUCGGAAAUGUCUGCUUGUUGUUCUUAUUACUGUUCAAAUUACAAAAAUGUACCUACUUGGAAAAAUGAGAGCAAAUAUGUAUCAUGGAAUAAUGAGCUGUUAGAAGUACAGAUUGUAAAAUUGUCUGUGGGCUGAGUAAAAAUAUGACCUCCUGUCAACUGGCAAAAUGAAACAUUCUUUAAAAUGCGGUAAGAUUGAUCUUAGGUAAUGUUCAAGGUAAUGUGAUAGUGAAAAUAUAACUUAGAUUUAGAACUUUCUUAGAUUUCAGGUUUUUCUGCAAACUUUUUAGAGCUGGUGUAAAACAGGAAAAAGAACUUAAGUCACCUUAUUUCCAGUCUUCCUCUCUGUUAGAGGGAAUGGAGUGGCCACACAGAAAAGCCAAGAGUCAUAACCUAGAUAAUUAUUCAAGGACUUGAGUAAGUAGUAAUAAUAUAUUUGAACUUAAAUAUGAGAGAGGAGAUUUUGAGAAAGAGCCAACUAUUCCUUGUUUUUGUUUCCAGUCCUGUAGGACACAGUGAUACAUUUUAUGUGACAAAUUUUACAGCCACAUCAGUAGUCAUUAGGAAAAGCUAGAUUUUUAUUUUUAAAAACUCCUGUUCUGAUUUAUUUUGGGGUUUUCUUCUUCUCCAGUGCCAGAAGUUGACAAACUUUUCCUAUAAAGGGCCAGAAAAUAAAUAUUUUAGGCUCUGCCAGCCAUGUGGUCUCUGUUGCAGCUACUCUGUUUCUACAGAGUGAAAGGAGCCAUAGACGAUACCUGCAGAUGAAUGUGGCCAUGUUUUAAUAAAGCUUUAUUUAUAAAAAUGGCAGUGGGCCAUUUGGCCUGUGGGCUGUGGUUUACCCCUGCACUUUGCAAUCCUUUUUCUUUUCCUAUUUGAUAUUCUUCAGGCUGGUUUCCGUUGUUAAUAGAGCUAUUCCAGAUGGAGCAUGGUGCCUUUUCAUAGAAUUCUGUUAGGCACAGGUCUGUCAUCUAGUGCAUGUGACUAGAACAUUUCAUGACUUGGAUGGAAACGUAGUUAAACGAGACUCUGGAAUAUGGAUCAAUGGGUUUGAUUAUACCGGA